GAUGAACGCUGGCGGCGUGCUUAACACAUGCAAGUCGAACGAAGCACCUUGAUUUGAUUCUUCGGAUGAAGAUCUUGGUGACUGAGUGGCGGACGGGUGAGUAACGCGUGGGUAACCUGCCUCAUACAGGGGGAUAACAGUUAGAAAUGACUGCUAAUACCGCAUAAGCGCACAGUACCGCAUGGUACAGUGUGAAAAACUCCGGUGGUGUGAGAUGGAUCCGCGUCUGAUUAGGUAGUUGGUGGGGUAACGGCCCACCAAGCCGACGAUCAGUAGCCGACCUGAGAGGGUGACCGGCCACAUUGGGACUGAGACACGGCCCAA
rnacentral:rRNA from 1 species